UUUUGAGAAUCGAUUUCAAUACAGCAGUAUGCAAUCGACACUAGAUGUUUCAGACAUUUAGCUUCAAACAGGGUAGUGAUUUUCUGCAUGAACAGGAUUCGUGUAAUCAGUUUCAUCGUGGUGCCAGUACCUUCUACCAAUCUGAUUUCGUAGCCCAUUGCCAGACUGAAUAAAAGGAAGAAAAAAACUUGCGCGGAUCUCAGGACUUCCUCUUUCCUCUUCAACAUUUCAAGAAGCUCGAGCCAAGCGUGUUCGAGCAAACGGGAUUCAACUGUAUCGUGCUAAUACGACGAAAAGACGUGCACCAGGGAGCAAAACUGCCGCUAGCAGCAGUCGCCUCGUGUCAUAGACAGUUAUAGCCGUAAUAGCGUGAGCGACGACGAAGAUGUCUCAGUCCCGCCCGCCUCCGCCGUUGCAAUCUGACAUUUCACCUCCGGCCCAUGAUAGAACGAAUCGAAGCCAGACCUGCACAACGCCGGAUGCCAACAUGGGUCCGAGCGAAGAAGAUCUUCCCUCCAACAUGGAGCCUCAAACUGUAAAUCCAGAUUCAGUUCCAAAAUGGCUUCCACAACCAAGGAAUCUCAGAUCAAUAGACAAAAUAAAGACACGAGCCACAGGAUCAGAAAAGAAAACACCAGCUGUUCCCGUGCCAAUUUCUGGAGCAACAGUGGUAUCUCCAACAACAAUUACUGGCCCCUUCCCGUCAACAGUGACCUCAGAUACCACACAAGCAGGGUCUUCUCUCCCGCCUCCAAAUUUAAGAAAAUAAAUUGUUAGUACUUCUUUUACAACAAUGAACUCAGACUCAACACUUUUAUUUCUGAUUGUAGGUUAUUAAAUUAAAUUGAAGCAUGUAUAAGAACGGACUUAAGACGUUACCAAAAUCCUGUUUGUUUCCCGUUUCCCGACUACCCUAUAUAUUUUUACAUUCGACUCUUAUUGUGUAAUUGGAGCUUAGUAUUAAUGUCCUGACUAUAUGUUUUCUCUGGUUAUAUCUUUUUAGAAUUUUUUGGUUCAGAAAAGGUUUAAAUGAACUGUGUCUAUAAAGCUCUACUUAACGUUAGACAAUUAGACCAAAUGGCGACGGUUUAAAGUCAAUGCUACAAAUGAAGUUUAAGCUAUACCGAUUGAUAUAAGAUACACUGAUCUAUUUUCAAUAGGAAUUGAUUUAACUAUUAAUAAACACACAGGUAGUUAUACUCAACAAUAUACGUGGAAAUAAAGGUGAAUCAUUUAAAUCAUAUUUGUUGUGUUUUAAAAUGCUGUAUGUUCCCCUGGUAUGGUUGGAUAAUUAGAAUAUAAGCAGGAUUUCUUGGUGGUUUUAAAAACGACAUUAUGGGAAAAACACAUUCUAAAACAGAGAAGAAGAAAGACGGACAAUCAUGCAAUGGCACCGAUCGUACGUCAUCAGUAUCAAAGGGUGGAAGUGCCUCACCAUACAACUCAGAAUCGGGACCUGACCGAGUUCCAGACGACAAUUUGCCACAAGGGGUAAUAGUCCCCGGACCAUCUCCAUCAGAACUUGACCUACCAAAACCAAACCUAGGAAGACAUAAGACCUAAUAAAAAUAAAACUUGUUUUUAGUUUCAGCAUAGACUGUUAUAAAACUUUUUCUAAGCCACAUUAAGUGUAGUGGUGUUGUUGUUGUUUUUCAUUUUUAUAUGACUUCAAUUAUUAAAUAUAAAGGAUACCUUUGUAAGCAUAUACAUCCAUAUAUAUGUAUGUUAUUUGGUUAAUUUUCGCGGGGUUGGCAACGUUUUAUAAAAAAAAAUUAUUAUAUACCCAUCAUAAAUCCACACGCAAUACAUAUCGAAAAAUACGGUUGUCCUUUUUCCACUCCAGUGCAAUACGGCCGUAUUCCACUCUUGUGACGUCACGUCAUAACAAGUAACGUUGCACGAUGUUAAAAUGACGUCAUAAAACAAAACAGUGCGUCGUUAAAAUGACAUUUAUUAUGAAAACAUGUGGCUUUUAAGUGAUCUUACCAGUAAUGUAUAUAUAAAAGGGUUAUUAAUACUGCGUUUUGAUCCGGAAUGUCUUAUUCGACUCUCGUGGAUUUUUGCAUAUUUUGAUUUCACUCGGCUCACGUCUCGUGAAAUCCGAAUCUGCAAAAAUCCAUUCGAGUCGAAUACAACCUCCCGGAUCUAAACGCAGUACAAAUAACCCUAUUAUAUUUAUACAAUGCCUAUCUACUAAUGAUAUGCGAAUUUCACUUAGUAAAUGGUAACACGCAUCUUAUUUAGUUAACCAGUUAGUCAUUCGGAGCACCUCGGCCAUUUUUAUCGAAAACAACCUCGGAUGUAUUUGGACGGUUUACAUACUCAGAAAUUGGUAUGUUUAAGUCAACUGCAAGAAGAUUUUGUCGUAAUUUCAAUUUAGCAGUUAAACUUAAUGACUUAACCCUUGGGAGUCUUUAUUAUGUUUGCAAUAAUACACUUCACUGGCAAUCAAUUUAAACUUAGAUUAAUAAAUACAAGCUAAACCACUUCAUUUAAUAAAUGAUGUUAUUCAGAAAAUUACGAACUACUCAUUUGAUGUACCGGCAUACAUGUAUCCGAGGUUGUUUCGAUAAAAAUGGCCGAGGAGUUCCGAAUGCCAGUUAGUAUGUUACUUACUAAGUGGUAAUCGCAAACCAUAACUAGAUAACCUGUUAGCGCCUGAAUCUGGAAUGCAUUUAUAGUUAACUGAUAACACGAAUACUAUCUAGUUAACCAGUUAAUGUGUUACUUACCAAGUGGAAUUCGCAAACCUUACAUAGAUCACCUGUAAGAGCCUGAAUCUUGAAUGCAUACACGUUUUUUUUGCGUGUUCUUUGGUGUUGUUGUUGUUCUAAAUAAGUGCUAACAUGGUCAGUGUGUGUAUACCACGUGAUAAAUUGCGUCUUAAAUGCUACGUCGGAAGGCAAUAUUUUACUUCGAAUGAAGACUUUAAACAAAGAUAACUUCACUAUUUUUCACCAUUUUGAAUGAAACAUAGCGCAGUCUAGGCCGCUUACGGAGCAUCGCGCCUUCGGUCUUUCACCAGAGCUUGAUUGAAAGUUUAGUUAGUUUCUUAAAACACCACGACAAACCUUUUCACAUUACGACCGUCUGACGGAGCACUGUCAAAACAUCGUUUUGGAAACAGGUUUGUCGAAGUGUUUGAUUAAACUAUUUACCUUAUCAAACUUCGGUAAUAAAACGAAGGCGGGGCUCUUUAAGCGGCAUAGAUUGCCUGCCCUUUGUUUCAUUAAAAAUGGUGUAGUAAAAGAAAAGUUAUCUUUGAUUUAAGUCUUCAAUUUAAGCAAAAUGUUGCCUUUCGACGUAGCAUAUAUGACGUCAUUUAUCACGUGAUAUACACACACUGAUGGUUAACACAACGAAAAUAACAAUGUUCUAUGGCUUUGUUGUGAGUGUUUUUGUUACUGGUAUUUUUUCAAGAGAAAUAGUUGAAUUGUUCUAAUAGAAAGUAUAUUUAAUCUAAUGACAAUAAAACGUUAGCAAAAGCAGGGGCGGCUCCAGCAGUUGACGUUAGAGGGGCGUAACUUAGGCAGACUCUUUGGCAUACGCACCUAACCUCCGAACCGAAAGUAAAUGGCAUAAACUAUUAGCAUGGAGGUUUGAGGUGAUUCUCAUCAGACAAUUUUAACAAUAUGUAGUCGGAAUUGGUGUAUUGUUUUGGUAUUUUAUUACAUUUUUUCUCCAAUAUUGAAAUAAAAAAGUAAACUUG